rnacentral:misc_RNA from 1 species
ACGAUGCUGCCUUGGAUGUUCAGCAGGAAGGGGGCUUCUGGGUUUUCAUGGAACUCAACGGCUGAGGAAGUCACACAAGGGCUUGAUGGAUCCGGCCUCACCGCCAUCGUUACAGGGGCAUCUAGUGGGAUUGGAUCUGAAACAGCUCGUGUUCUUGCAUUACGUGGCAUUCAUGUUUUCAUGGCAGUCAGAAAUUUGUCUACUGGUGCUAAUGUCAAAGACACAAUACUCAAGGAAAUUCCCACUGCUAAAAUUGAUGUCAUGG